ACCAUCCUGUCAAUUCAUCUCUUAGCAUGCAGCGACACAAUGGAGUCAACCAUGCUGAACAAUUGCUGAGCCUAUAGUUAUGGUUCUCUGAAUGAGGAGGACCAACCGGGUGGCUUAGUGAAUACCCACCGCUGACUGCUCUGCUCUGGAUAUAGGCUUCAAGCUAAAGAACAAGUAUAACCUCUAAUGGCGUGCUUUAAAUCAAUCUAUGAUUUCAGCGCUGAGACCUUGAACGGUCAGAGCGUUCCUCUCAGUAUCUACAGGGGCAAGGUGCUCCUCAUUGUCAACCUGGCCACCUUCUGAGGGUCAACGAUAGAGGAGUACCACAGAAUGAAUGCACUCAUGGAAAUGUUUGGUGACCUCAACUUCACUGUCCUGGGAUUCCCCUGCAAUCAGUUUGGUCUUCAGGCACCUGAGGUAAAUCAUGAAACCCUCAACCUUCUCAAGUAUGUAAGGCCAGGUGGGGGUUUGUCCCCAAGUUCCCUGUGUUUGGCAAGAUCGAGGUCAAUGGGUUGAAUGAAGAACCUCUUUUCGCCU